CCUACGGGAGGCUGCAGUGGGGAAUAUUGGACAAUGGGGGGAACCCUGAUCCAGCCAUGCCGCGUGUGUGAAGAAGGCCCUCGGGUUGUAAAGCACUUUCAGUGAGGAAGAACGCCUGGUGGUUAAUACCCAUCAGGAAAGACAUCACUCACAGAAGAAGCACCGGCUAACUCCGUGCCAGCAGCCGCGGUAAUACGGAGGGUGCGAGCGUUAAUCGGAAUUACUGGGCGUAAAGCGCGCGUAGGUGGCUUGAUAAGCCGGUUGUGAAAGCCCCGGGCUCAACCUGGGAACGGCAUCCGGAACUGUCAAGCUAGAGUGCAGGAGAGGAAGGUAGAAUUCCCGGUGUAGCGGUGAAAUGCGUAGAGAUCGGGAGGAAUACCAGUGGCGAAGGCGGCCUUCUGGACUGACACUGACGCUGAGGUGCGAAAGCGUGGGUAGCAAACAGGAUUAGAUACCCGUGUAGUC
rnacentral:rRNA from 1 species